rnacentral:rRNA from 1 species
GACGAACCGUGCGAACGUUGUUCGGAAUCACUGGGCUUAAAGGGCGCGUAGGCGGGUCAGCAAGUCAGGGGUGAAAGCCCACGGCUCAACCGUGGAAGUGCCUUUGAUACUGCUGGUCUUGAGGGAGGUAGGGGCGUGCGGAACUUCCGGUGGAGCGGUGAAAUGCGUAGAUAUCGGGAGGAACACCAGUGGCGAAGGCGACUUCCUGGCCUGUUCUUGACGCUGAGGCGCGAAAGCUAGGGUAGCAAACGGGG